rnacentral:rRNA from 1 species
UACGUAGGGGGGCAAGCGUUGUCCGGAUUUAUUGGGCGUAAAGAGCGUGUAGGCGGCUAGGUAGGUCCGUUGUGAAAACUCGAGGCUCAACCUCGAGACGCUGGCGAAACCAUCUGACUAGAGUCCGGAAGAGGAGAGUGGAAUUCCUGGUGUAGCGGUGAAAUGACGCAGAUAUCAGGAGGAACACCGGUGGCGAAGGCGGCCCCCUGGACCGGUACUGACGCUGAGGCGCGAAAGCGUGGGUAGCAAACGGGG